rnacentral:lncRNA from 10 species
AUAGUAGAAGAAAUCUUUCUGCAAGCUAUGUGACUUGUAUUUUCACCCUGCUAGUUAAUUGCUUUCUUAGACUUUUCUAUUCUGCUGUUCGAUGGUAGCUCAGCAAGUGACUUUUCAUCAUUAUAGAAUAGGAAAAAAUUGUUUGGGUUGUGGAUUGGUUUACAGAUGCUGCACUUUCCAAUUCCUACCACACCAUGACCCUGUAACCUGCUGGGAAGAUGUAGCCCUAAGUGCAAAAGAAGCUCCCCACAAAAUGUUAUUUUCCUAGGUCCUUUUCCCAACCACAUGGAGCAGAUAAAUGGAAGGAGAGGCAUGUUGGUGGUGGUGAUGAUGGUGGUACAAUUUUCCCUCAGUAUCCACAGGGAAUUGGUUCUAGGAAGCACCUCCCCAACACCAAAAUCUGCGAUGCUCAAGUCCCUUAUGUAAAAUAAUAUAGUGUUUGCAUAUAAUCGACCCAUAUACUCCCAUAUACUUUAAAUCAUCUCUAGUUUACUUAUAAUGCCUAAUACAAUGUAAGUGCUAUGUAAGUAGUUGUUAUACUGUAUUUUUUUACUUGUAUUGUUGCAUUGUUAUUUUUUAUUUUUCAAAUAUUUUCCAUCAGUGGUUGGUUGAAACCAUGGAUGUGGCACUUGUGGAUAU